rnacentral:misc_RNA from 1 species
AAGAGCCAGCCGGCAAUAAGCCGUCCUAAGAAUGCAUUAAAAGAGAGCAGAUAAUAAGCAUGACAAUUUUUACUUCACCUCCCAGGGCCAAACAGACCAAUGCCUUAUGCAUUGUUCUUCUUGCCUUCAGAGCUGGGAAAGGCCCAGUAAGGCUUUGCAGCAGUCCUAGCCAGAGCCUUCACAGUCAUCGGGUUGUUCUUGCUCAUUGAACAGGUUCCAUCUCUAACAUUGCAGACAGGGUAUUCACCGGGGCAGCAGCUGCUGUGAUCUUCACAGCAGGAGGCAGACUCAAG